rfam:Salmo salar isolate Sally breed double haploid chromosome ssa04, whole genome shotgun sequence.
UGCAUGCAUCACUGUAAGUCGCUUUCGAUGAAAAGUGUCUGCUAAAUGGCUUAUU